rnacentral:misc_RNA from 1 species
CGCAGUUCUUGUCUCCGCAUUCAAUUUUGUUAUGCCAUACCUUUUAGGUUGGCACACUGCUGUAAAUUCCUUCAAGCCUGAAGACGCCAGUCGCUCAAACAAUGCUAAUCCAAGAUCAGGUGCUGAACUUGAAUGGAAUCGAUAGUUCUGGUGAAGGUAUGAGCACGUUGCCUGUACUACGAUUGCAGGGGCAAUAUGUUCCUUCAUCCCCUGGAUCGACAUUUUGUAUGAACCCUCAUUCACUUGCACCCUCCAAUGAGUUCUAAUCGACGAUAGUAGUAUUAACUCUCUUCUUGUAAUGCUGAUUUACUGUAAGUUGUGUUUUAUUGUGUAGCAGUAGAAACUCAUUAACUGAUUAUCCUGAUUCCUGUUGAAUGUGAAAUCCAG